CAGGCAGCAGUGAGAAAGCAUGAAGUGGUUUUUGGAAGAACUACCUUUCCUUGCAAAAUGCACUAGACUUUGCAUAGCUUGAAAGAGAUGCCUUUUAUUCCCUGCAGACCACUUCCUGCAGCUUGGAAGAAGAAUUUCCUGACCGAGCCGGUAAGGCUGCUUGCAAGCACAAGACUGCAGCAAAAUCUGGAAACCCUUCCCGGAGCUCCUUUUCUCCCUUACCCUGUGGGCAUGGCCCACGGAAGGAGAGAGGCACUGGGCACGGCCGCGGUGGCAGAAGCGUGCCGCUGCCUCUCGUCCCAAGUGCGGAGAGGGCCUUAAGGAGCGCAGCCUGGCCUCGCUGCCUGCCUGCCUGGCUGACCUCCCCCUGACUCGGGGCAGGCAGAAACAGAAAGAUUUUGUGCUCCGGCGGAGCUGGGCCUUCCCGUGACCCAGGCGAAACCCUCCAGCCGCUUUCCCACAACGCCGCGCCGAAGCCUGGCUGCAGCUCUUCGUUUAUUUUUUCAGACUCCUGCCCCUCUGGUCAUCUCCUCAUCUCCCAGGUACACAGCUGAAAUCCAACAAAUUGCCAACUGAACUUCCAAGGCACAGAGGACUCCAAGGCAUGUGACUGCCAUUAACAUCGGCUGGAUUCCUGCAAUGGGAGUGAGUUUGAAAAUAAGCAAUAAAAGGCAUUUCAUGAGCUCACA